rnacentral:rRNA from 1 species
CGGACGGCUGAGUAAUGAACAGGAACGUACCUCGUAGUGGGGGAUAGCCUCGGGAAACCGAGGGUAAUACCGCAUAUGAUCGCAAGAUCAAAGCCGCAAGGCGCUAUGAGAGCGGCCUGUUUCCUAUCAGGUAGUUGGUGGGGUAAUAGCCUACCAAGCCUAUGACGGGUAACUGGUCUGAGAGGAUGACCAGUCAGAUCGGGACUGAGAUACGGCCCGA